CUUCUACACAGGGAUUAAAGUGCUCCGCUGCUACAACUGAUUUCCUUCAGCUGGACUGGGGCAAAAAAAAUGCUAAAACAAUAUGACUGUCGUGAUUAAAGUGUAAUGUGAAAAUGAAUGAAAAGUUUCAGUUGUGACAUUACAUUUAGAUCCGCUCACAUUGCAUUAAUUGUUUGUUUGUAUGACUAAAAAGUGUCAAGUAGAUCUGCACGAUUCUGGAUAAACUGAGAAUCACAAUUUGUUUUUUUUUGUUUUGUUUAUUUUUUUGUUUCAAACAGAGAUCAUGAUUCUCCUACGAUUCUGAAAAGACAACCAAACAAAAUAACAUGUAAUUUACUAGAGGUUCUGAGAAAAUAUUAAUUGCUGCAGUCUAUUUAAAAAAUGUUUAAUUCAUUUGAAUGAGUUAUUUUAUAAAAAUCAGUUUGAAUGAUUCUACGGAGGCCCACACAUGACAUGCAAUCACGAUCUCUGUUUGUUUCAAAGAUAUUUUUCAUUACUGGAUGAAUCCGCAUUUUUGAAUGAAUCUCUUGAAUGAAUGAUUCAAUGACAAAUACAUUUUUUAACAGUCACUUGUCGCCACCUGCUGGAUUAACAGUGUAAUUUAUUUGAAGCGUCAAAAUACAUUCAAAAGGUGGUUUGCUCUAUUUUUCGCUACUGUAGACAUCAGUGUUUAUAUCUGAACUAUAAACUUUUAUCCCAGUACUUCUGUGGUAAUUUGAAUAUUUGUAGCACAGAAAUAAUGAACUGUGUGCUUGAAAAGACUGAUUGUGGAGCUGUUUCAUACCUACACACAAUAAGUGCUUUAUCUGAGUCAGCAGCAUGUUCGCUGUGAUCGUACUUAGAGCCGAAUCGCUGUCAUUUAGAAAAAAGAUUGUGCGGGUGUCUGAAUCGAGAUUGUGGCUGCGUUUACACUGGCACAAAAAAAUCUGAUCUUUUGCUCACAUCUGACACAGACCGGAAUUAGUUGCACACGUGUAAACACAAAAACCCACACAAGAUCCGAUUUUUUCGCAUCCGUUCUGAGCCACUUCCAAAUGUGUCCAAAUCCGAUUAAUUUAAAAGAGACCGCCGUGUACUUGUUUUUCUUAUAAGCCAAAAGCUUCAAUGUAGCCCUCUUUCUCUCUCUCUCUGUUUCUGGGUGCGCAUGUGAGUAGAGCGUGUGGUGAGUUUGAGUGCGAUCUCUUUCUAACUUUUCUGUAGUUUGUUGUUUUUUGUUUGUUUAUGUGUUUUGUGUGUAAUUGUUGUAAAAGAGUAGCUUUUAGAGAAAGUUGUGGGAGUCUGCUCCCGGCGUCUCUUUCUGCCGGGAAGCAUGGCUGCUCCAGGUGUUAAGUAGUGAUGGUGUAACGCGGCGUGAUGGGAUUAAAAUAUUGUGUAAAUUCAGUGUAGAGGAAUGUGCUUUAGCGGUUGGCAAUGUGGUGGGUUACAACUCUAUUGUUUCUGUUGUCUAGAAUGAACAACGCAGUUGUUUUGUUUUUAAACUUGAUCGAAACGGCAAAUGAGGUUGUUCAAACGGGAGUCGUAAUUAUUGAUGUGCUUACACCUGUACUCCCUCUUAGUAGCCCUUCCAGAAAGAUUAUUUUGUCAAAUGUUCCUCCUUUUGUUAUUGAUGCAAGUAUUGCUAAAGAAUUGUCUUCUUUUGGCAAGAUAGUCUCUCCCAUUCAGAAAUUUGCUCUUGGCUGUAAAUCACCCUUGCUGAAACAUGUAGUGUCUUUUCGGAGACAGGUUUAUAUGAUUCUGAAAAACAAUGCUGACGAACUUAACCUGUCCUUUAAUGUUAAAGUGGAGGACUUUAACUAUACAGUUUAUGCUACGUCUGAAAGCAUAAUGAAAUGCUUUGGUUGUGGCAAAAUUGGCCAUUUGAUACAUGCUUGUUCUGAAAAAAAUGGAAGAAAAUGUUACUGUACAGACAAACUCUGAGAAUAAUCAUUCUGGAGUUGUGUCUGUCACAGAGGAUGUUGUGGCUUCUGCUGCUGUUGAGUCAGUUUCUGUCAGUUGUGAAUAAACCAAAUAAACCCACAAUGGCAGAGAUUACUGCAGGUCUUUUUUCUGUAACUGAUCUCAUGGUUUUUGAGACUGCUGAAAAAAGCAGCGACAUCAAUGUAACUGCAGAUAACAUGACAACUACUGACAAACAGGUCAGUGAGGGUGUUGUUGAAUUGGAAAUGGAAACAGAGUCAAUCUUCAAAAUCCCUACUAAAAGGAAAAAAAAAAUUGCCAGAGUAAGGUGAUUAAACAAGCAAAAAAAGACAAAAAUGAGGCUGAAAGUUUAACCUCUGACAAUGAUGCAGAUUUUACAGACUCUAAUACUUCUGACUGUUCUUAUCUUUCAUCUCAAAAUGAAAAUGAAAAUCAGAUAACAGUAUAUGGAUUUGAGGAAAUCAGCAAAUUUUUGAAAGAAACUAAAGGGCUACCUGGAGUUCAGGUUGAAGAUUACUUCCCUGAUCGAUCAACUUUCAUUAAUGAUGCAAAGUUUUUAAUGAAAGAAGGUGUAUUUGCUGAUAGAGAAGUUUAUCGUCUCAGGAAAAUUGUGAGUAAACUUAAAAAGCAAAUCCUUAAUGAUGAAAAACAAGAUAUGAUGUAACUUCUUUUUUCUGGUAGCUGUCUUAGCAUUGCUGGCUGUUUCUUUUAAUUUUUGUUUUUUUAAAACAUCAUUUAUUAUGAGAGAUUUUAAAAUUGGAACUCUCAAUUUAAAUGGUGCUAGAGACAGAAGAGAAUGUGUUUGUUUGAAUUUAUAAAACAAAAGCGUCUUGGUGUUACUUUUGUUCAAGAAACACAUAGUGACUUAAAUGAGGUAGACUGGAAAAAGGAAUGGGAUGAUCAAAUUUCAUUUGAUCAAAGUCAUUUGUCUUCUAACAGUGGAGGUGUAGCUGUGUUGUUUUCAAGGAAAUCACUAACAAUUUCUUGUGAAAUAGAGGAAAUAGUCAGAGGGCGUCUUUUAAAAAUUAAAGCCAAGUUUGAAAUGUUUUAAUGAUUUUUUUUUUUUUUUUUUUUUAAAUAUAUAUGCUCCUAUACAAAGAGGGCUGAAAGAAUUUUUUUUUUAUAUAUACAAUUAGUGAUGUUAUGAAAGACCUAAGUUCAGAAGAAUUAUUGUGCCUAGGUGGAGAUUUUAACUGUACAGUAAAUGAUAAAUUAGACCGGAACCAUUUAGAGCCACAUAUUGCCUCACAAAAAGCUCUCACACAAUUAAUAAAAACAUUUGAUUUAUGUGAUGGUUGGAGGAAUGUGCAUCAUAAGAACAGACAAUAUACUUGGGCACACAGUAGAGAUAAUCUUAUUUCUAUGGCAAGACUGGAUAGGCUUUAUGUGUUUAAUUUUCAAGCAAAUCUGGCUAGAGAUUGUAAAAUAAUUCCAGUUGGUUUUUCUGAUCAUUGUUCAGUUAUUUGUAAUUUUUUUUUUAUUAAUUAUGUGAAUUUAAAGAGUGCUUACUGGCAUUUGAAUACAUCACUUUUAAAUGAUAAGAAGUUUAUUGAAAUUUUUAAUUUGUUUUGGGAAACUUGUAAAGAACAAAAACAGUUUUAUACUUCCUUACAACAAUGGUGGGAUUGUGGCAAGGUCCAUAUUAAACAACUGUGUCAAGAGUACACUCUUAAUGUUAGUAAGGAAAUGGCUCAGUCAAUGAAAGAGUUAAAAAAUGAACUAGUAGAACUUUUGUGUACAACAGCUUCUACAGGUGAUGGUGAUUGUUUUGAAAGCAGUAAAUCCAAAAAAGAAAUGCUUGCAGAUUUAUUAGGUGUGAAAGCACAAGGGGCGUUACUUCGCUCGCGUUUUCAAAGUAUCACACAAAUGGAUGCACCACCUAAAUUUUUUUUCAAUUUAGAAAGCAAAAAUGGACGUAUCAUUCACUCAUUGCGCUCUGACAGAGGAAAAGAGCUUACUGAGCCUAAUGAAAUACACAAACAUGCUGUUGCUUUUUACUCAAAUUUAUAUAGAUGUGAAUUGUCUCAGAGAAAAUGAAGAUUCUACUUUUUUUAAUGAUCUUCCAAAGAUUGACGAAGAGUCUAAUAAUAUGCUUGAACAAUCUCUGUCACAAAAUGAAUUAUACACAGCUAUGAUUAGAAUGGAAAAUGGGAAGACUCCUGGUAUUGAUGGGAUUCCUGUUGAUUUUUAUAAAAUUUUAUGGCCAGUGAUUGGUGAAGAUUUUUUUUGCGUUCUUAAUGAUAGUUUGAGUAAAGGAUUGUUACCACUAAGCUGUAGAAGAGCUGUUACUACUCUGUUGCCUAAGAAAGAGGAUCUUCAAAACAUAAGCAAUUGGAGACCAAUAUCUCUUUUUUGCGCAGAUUAUAAAACAUUAUCAAAGGCUUUAGCUACAAGGUUAGGUAAAGUUUUGAGUCAAGUAAUACAUUCCGAUCAGAAUUAUUGUAUACCCAAUAGAUCAAUCUUCGACAAUAUAUCAUUGGUUCGAGACGUUCUUGAGGUUGCAAGGUUAUUGGGUGUUAAUUGUGGUCUGAUUUCACUUGACCAGGAAAAAGCCUUUGACCGUGUUGAACACACAUAUUUGAGAGAUGUUUUAGAGGCUUUUGGUUUUAGUCAGAAUUUUAUAAAUAUGAUUGAGGCCGUGUAUUGUAACAUUGAGAGUAUACUCAAAGUCAAUGGUGGUUUGAGUGCUCCUUUUGAAGUUCAGAGGUGAGUUAGACAGGGAUGUGCUCAGUGGUGUAGUCUACGUGAUACGCAGGUACACGCCGUAUACCCACUAGGAAAGGUCAAGGAUUUCCGUAUACCCACUUAAAAAAGCACGAGGAUACGUAACCAUCCAAUAAAUCACAAUAUGAUUUGUGGUUUGUUGCUUUUGACAUGAAACAAAGUCUCAUAUUUCUCAAAGUCUCAAGUUUCAUAUUUUGCCCAUUUUACUUCGGAAUAAAAACAACAUAAAUACCGUUUUGGCGCUCUUUAAUCUAUGGUAGAGACAGAUCGCUGUAGCCUCAGUUCAAGAGAAGCGGCAGGCUGACGCGCACGUUAACUGAUCCUCUCCUCCGCUUUAAUACCAGUUACAGCGCGAAAUAAACAUGAAUAAACUUCAAGGUAUGAUAAAAGAUACACUACAACUUAACGAAAUCCAUAUCAUGUCUCGUAUAAUCGCUUAAUCAGUGUUUCAGCCGCGGAAAGACGUUAAUAACAGCUUGUAAACAAUGUAACUUAACUUCACAUUUACCUCAGAACAAACAUAUUCAGUGACCAUAAACUCGUUCAGCUAGAAAAAUGAACUCUUGAGAGGAGCAUUUAGCUAAAUAUAUACACCAUAUUAUAUAUAAUUAUAAUUUUUAAUGUUCUUCAAUAGCCUUUUUGAAGAACAUUACCCAUGUUUGAAUAAAUCCGUCAAGUUGACAGCCACCAUGUAAAAUUUUUAUAUUUCAAAAAACGAAUUGGAGUAAAAAUAAUUUUAAAGUUUGUAGGCCUAUUAUAACUUUAUUAUUAUAAAAAUUUCUUUAAGUGUUAUUUAAGUUUGUACAAAUCAGUUCAUUUUAACCUUCAAUAUUAAUGUAGUACCAACUGAUUGCCAUUUUAUGUAGAUAAUGUAGUCCUAUUUUACAGCAUUAGUUGAGAGAUUUUUUUUUCUUGAGAAAAUUUGCCAUGUACUGUACCUGAUAUACAGUAUAUCCAAAAUAACUGAUAUUGAAUCGAAUUGCAAGUUAGUGAAUUGAAAUGCAUAACUAUGAUGGCAGACUGGCAGGAAAUGGUGCAAAACAGAAACAGGGUGAUAAGCCUCAUCUUUCCAUUAUUGUUACACUCUAAAAAUGCUGGGUUAAAAACAACCCAAGUUAGGUUGAAAAUGGACAAACCCAGCGAUUGGGUUGUUUUAAUCCAGUAGUGGGGUUAAAUUUCCCAACUUGCUGGGUAGUUUUAUUUAACCCAACUAUUGUUUAAAAAUGACUAUGUGGCUGGCUUAAAAUGAACCCAAAAUAGGUUGGAAAUUGAAAAUCAGACACAUAAUUACUAGAGGCAACAAUAAUAAUAAUAAUCAAAGGUGAACAUUUAUUAAUAAACAAUUGAAUAAAUGUUUAUUGUUUAAUUAUUAUAUUUAAUAUUAAUAAAUGUUAAUUUCCAACAUAUUUUGGGUUCAUUGUAAGCAAGCAAUGCAGCAGUUUUUACACAAUAGUUGGGUUAAAAUUACCCAGCAGGUUCCUUUUGUUGAUUAUAUAACUGACAUUUUGAUAAAACACACAUAAGCAGUCUUUCAGAAUGCUCUCAAUAACAUGUAGCCUAGAUCAGUUGCAUACUAUGUGCUUUAGUGAGUGUGGCGGUGAUUAUGGGGUGUCGCUCUGGGACAGGUGAGUAUGAGGCUGGGAGGGAAAAAUCACAGUAUACUCACUACAAAAAAAACUAGACUACACCACUGGAUGUGCUAUGUCAGGAAUGUUAUAUUCACUGGCUAUUGAACCUCUACUUCAUAAAUUAAGAACCGAGUUAAGUGGUUUUACUAUACCAAACUGUAAUGCCUCUUUGCACCUUUCUGCUUAUGCUGAUGAUGUUAAAAAAUUGGAGAUCAUUGUUAAUGGUUUUAAAAAACUUUCUUCUGCAAAAGUCAACUGGGCAAAAAUAGGGCUGUGCUCAGAAUAUCGAUACAGCGAUACAUCGUCAUGAACUCCUGACGAUGCGCGAGUCUGUCGUGCUUCUGAAUGUAGCCAAUAAUCACGUGACGUCAAUUGGCGCUAAUUUAGCAACGCGAGCAGCAGAGCGAGACAUUCAAAAUGGAUAAGAUGAUUUUGCCACCGCCGACAAAAGUAAAAUCAAAAAUAUGGGAGAAUUUUGGGUUUUACGCUAAACCGGAGAGUCAGACAUUAGACAUGAGUCGAUAUGCAAGAACUGCAAAACAAAAGUUAUGUACUCCGGCAACACGACGAACCUCUCUCUGCAUAUGUCAAGACAUCAUCCAGACCAGCCAGCCCUGGUCGCAGCAGGUAGGCCUAGUAGCACAUAUCUGUCAUCCCAGAAGCAGCCAACGUUGCCUGAUGCUUUCAUCUCAAAAAUCUUACCCACGUCUCAGCGAUCUCAAAAGAUUACAAAUGCAUUAAUGCGCUUCAUAUGUCAGGAUUUACGGCCAUACAGCGUUGUCGAGAAUAACGGCUUCAGACAAUUGCUUCACGAGUGUGAGCCACGCUACACAAUACCAACACGUCAGUUUUUAACAGAAACGGCAAUUCCCCGGUUGUAUGAUGAAGUUAAGCGAGACGUUCUGCUGUCACUCUCUUCUGCACAGAGAGUUUCCAUUUCCUGCGAUGCUUGGACUUCGAGAGCAACCCAAUCGUAUGUUACGAUAACCUGCCACUACAUAUCUCCACAGUGGGAACUUGUCUCGCACGUUCUGCAGACUAGAGUGAUGUUUGACAAUCACACCGGAGCAAACAUCGCAGAUUUGCUAAAUGAUGUGAUGCAAGAAUGAGGAAUAAAAGAAAGAUCCAGUGCUUGUGACUGAAAGUGCAUCUAACAUGUCAGUAGCUGCAGAGCUAGCCAAAUUAGUUCAUGAGAUGCUUUGCUCACUUUUUGAGUCUGGCUGCUCAACGGGCUCUUAGUUACCGAAAGUUUCCCCAUCUUCUCGGAAGAGUUCGGAGCAUCACAACAUUUUUUAGGAAAAGUACAAUCGCCUGCCAUGUCCUGCACGAGAAGCAAAAGGUACUUGGUCUUCCUGAGCAUAAGUUGAUGACCGAUGUCUGUACGAGGUGGAACAGCGCACAUGACAUGUUGGAGCGAUUCGUAGAACAGCCUGCAUUACUGAAGUACAUUACUUUUUGAAGGAGGAGAACAGACAGGAGGUCCACACCAAAAUGGCAAUGGAGGCAUCACAGAUUUCGCUUGCAACGAACCAGAGUAAUGAAGCGGAUCAGAACAGAAAGAAUGCUGAGACCGAUCUGUCGCCACCCUGCAAGAGAGAGAAUGUGGACUCAUGUGCUCUUGAGGACUUGUUUGGAGAUGCAUUUUCCCCUCCCAAAACACAACAAUCACCUCUGACACUGUAUAAUCAGGCAGAGGUUGAAGUCAGGACAUACAGAGACACAGAGCCAUUACCUCUUACAGAGGAUCCACUCAUCUGGUGGAAGGAGCACCAGUCUGUUUUUCCUUUACUAUCAAACUUGGCAAGAUGUACCCUCUGCAUCCCUGGCACAAGCGUAGCAGCAGAGAGGGUGUUCUCCACUGCUGGAGAUAUAAUUACAGCAAAGAGGAGUGCUCUUAACCCUGAGCAUGUUGAUCAAUUGUUGUUUCUGCAUAAAAAUCUGAAGAUGUAAUUGUAAAUGUGAUGUGUUGUAAAACACUUAAGACCAAAUUGUUAAAUACUAGGUGUUUAAAAGGGUUUGAGGAAACCAAGUUAAAUUUAAGUUGUUACAGUUUUUGCUUUUAUGGAAUAUGUUUUAAGUUUUGUUUAGUCAUUGAGCUUUGUUGAUAUGCUUCAGUGUCACUAUAAUUGUCAUUUCAGUUACUGAGGCAGAGACUUUAAAAGCAAAAGGAAGAGCCAUUCUAAGCUUUUUUUUGUGACAAUUUUUUUUUAUUUCAUUUAAGUCAUUGUUUUUUCAAUGACAAAAACAAAAUUGUUUUUCAGUUAUCACAACUGUUAUAACACUGGUUAUUCAAUAAACACCUAUUACUGUUACUAAACUCUGCUCAAAAGAAAAUUAAAUUCCAAAUUGAUCCAUAUCGUGAUAUGUAUCGUAUCGUGGCUUUAGUAUCGUGAUAUGUAUCGUAUCAUGACAAUGUUGGUGAUACACAGCCCUAGGCAAAAAGUGAGGCCCUUUGAAUGGGAGAUUGGAAUAGAGGACUUCCCAACUUACCUGGAGGUUUAAUCUGGAAGAAAGGUGGUUUAAAAUACCUUGGAGUUUUUUUUAGGUAAUGAUGACUUUGUUCAAAGGAAUUGGGAUUGUAUGCUAGAAGAAAAAAAAAAAUCAAAGGAUUUUUUUACAGAAAUGGAAAUGGCUACUUCCCCAUCUGUCUUAUAGAGGUCGCACACUUAUAAUGAAUAAUUUAGUGGGGUCCUCUUUAUGGCAUAAAUUUGCAUGUGUAGAUCCACCUGUUGGACUUUUACCAAAGCUUCAAGGAGAAAUGGUUAAUUUUUUCUGGGACAGUUUGCAUUGGACACCUCAAAGUGUUCUUUUCCUGCCAAGAGAUGAAGGGGGUCAAGGUUUGAUUAAUCUUGUCAGCAGAGGAGGAACUUAUCGAUUACAAUUCAUUCAGCGAUUACUGAUGGGACCUCAAAGUCUAGCGUGGAAGCCAUUGGCACAAAGCAUUUUACGUGGAGUGAAUGGAAUGGGACUUCAUGCUGCGCUUUUCUUAAUGGAUCAUUCUUUUCUGGAUUUGACUGUAUUACCCUCUUCUUAUAAAAGUCUCUUUAAAGUGUGGAGACUUUUUAAACAUCAGUGGACUGAGUCAGCUACAUCUCUUUUUUGGUUGCUUGAAGAACCUGUAACCAUCGACACGACAGCCACGACACAGUUCCUCAACAACCGUCCAUACCGGCGUGAUGAAUACGAUCCUCAAUUGGAUGGAACUGAAAUAAAUACUUUUAAUGUUGCGAUCCUAUUGGACUUAUGAUAGCAACCUGAAUUGUAACAAAGCACUGUUGGCCAGAGGAGAACUGGCACCCCGACUAAGCCUGGUUUCUCCCAAGGUUUUUUUCUCCAUUUUAACACCAAUUUGCCACUUGUCUGCCACCUGAUGUCACCUGAUGGAGUUUGGGUUCCUUGCCGCUGUCGCCUCUGGCUUGCUUAGUUGGGGACACUUGACUUGACAUUUUGAUAUUCAACAGUGCUUUUGAUCUGCCUGCAUUGACACUAUUCUUUAAGAGCUGCUGUGCAGUCAAACAAUGUACCAGUUAUCAAUGUAAAGCUGCUUUGACACAAUCUACAUUGUAAAAAGCGCUAUAUAAAUAAAGGUGACUUGACUUGA